CAGCAGUGAGGAAUAUUGGUCAAUGGCCUAACGGCUGAACCAGCGAUUUGAAGGAAUGAAGAUCUACUUUGAAAUAUAAGAAGACUAAAAUUCUGGUUAGUAAAAUGAUAAUGACAAUUUUCUAUCUAAAUGUCUUGACUAAUUCACGCUGCCAGCAGUCGCGGUAAUACGUGAGAGACUAGCGUUAUUCAUAUUUAAUUGGUUUAAAGGGUUACUAGACGGUAAUUUUUGCCUUUGAAUGGGAACAGAGUUACUAGAGUUUUAUGUGAAAAGUAUAUUUAGAACUCAUGGUGUAGAACUGAUAAUUUAAAAUACUAUGGGGAAUGAUAAAGGCGAAGGCAAACUUUUAUGUAAAAACUGACGUUGAGGAACGAAGGCAAGGAAAGUGAAUAGGAUUAGAACCCUAGUAACCCUAGCAGAAAAUGAUGAGUGCCAUAGGUUGUAUUAAAUUUAAAUCGCCUAUAAAUGAAAAUGUAAGCAUUCCACCUCAAGAGUAAUGUGGCAACACAGAAACUGUAACCAUUAGACCAACUCCGAAACUAGUAGUGAAGUAUGUUAUUUAAUUCGAUGAUCCGC
rnacentral:rRNA from 1 species